AUCGGAUAUUGAAGAUAUUAUGAUAUAAUAUAAUACAUAUAGUUUGUCAAAUACUUGAUAAUGGUUAUCGAUUGUCUGAUGACUAAAUUAUUAUGAUCAAUGACUCCGUGGAGGAUGUAGGAACCCUUCAUAUCCCUUCCACACAACAAAGGCUGGCUUGGGAAAUAUCGAGUUCUUGGCCGUCUAUUUUGUGUGACCCCAAUUUUCUAAUUUGAACUUUCCCCUCCCGCUUAAUGUUUUUCGCUAUUCUGGCUUCUAGGUGAAUCAUUAAAAUUUUCCGUUACAACUUUUAAUUUAUAUUCUUUUAAAUAAUUA